CCUACGGGGGGCAGCAGUCGAGAAUCAUUCACAAUGGGGGAAACCCUGAUGGUGCGACGCCGCGUGGGGGAAUGAAGGUCUUCGGAUUGUAAACCCCUGUCAUGUGGGAGCAAAUUAAAAAGAUAGUACCACAAGAGGAAGAGACGGCUAACUCUGUGCCAGCAGCCGCGGUAAUACAGAGGUCUCAAGCGUUGUUCGGAAUCACUGGGCGUAAAGUGUGCGUAGGCUGUUUCGUAAGUCGUGUGUGAAAGGCGCGGGCUCAACCCGCGGACGGCACAUGAUACUGCGAGACUAGAGUAAUGGAGGGGGAACCGGAAUGCUCGGUGUAGCAGUGAAAUGCGUAGAUAUCGAGAGGAACACUCGUGGCGAAGGCGGGUUCCUGGACAUUAACUGACGCUGAGGCACGAAGGCCAGGGGAGCGAAAGGGAUUAGAUACCCCUGUAGUC
rnacentral:rRNA from 1 species